GGGGAGGGCUGAUGCUGGAAACAGUUAAUACCAGGAAGAGGGUAGUCAGGUGUGUUGGCGGUGCUAAGGCUGGCUGAGGAGCUGGUGUUACUAUUUUUAAGUGCUUCCUGCUCUCUGAUCAAGAUGCACACCCUUUGGGGGAACACACUUGGCUGAAUGGAAAGAGCAGAUAAAUGUUUCAGUUCAAUCCCAGCUGUAAUUCGACCUGCCAUGAUAUCAGGUUUCUUCAGUCAAAAAGAUAUGGCUCUGUCCUUGAUAGCAAGGAGGAGAGGACUUAAGGAUGUCGCCACAGGAUAUCUUGACAUCAGUUGCAUCAGUGCUUCAGAUUCUGGCCGAGGAUGCCAGAUUCUCACUACUGCCAGUGAAAGAGACUGUCAGGACCCAGAGAGCUGA
rnacentral:lncRNA from 1 species